AUUGAACGCUGGCGGCAUGCCUUACACAUGCAAGUCGAACGGUAACGCGGGGCAACCUGGCGACGAGUGGCGAACGGGUGAGUAAUGCAUCGGAACGUGCCCAGUAGUGGGGGAUAGCCCGGCGAAAGCCGGAUUAAUACCGCAUACGACCUUCGGGUGAAAGGGGGGGGAUCGCAAGACCUCUCGCUAUUGGAGCGGCCGAUGUCAGAUUAGGUAGUUGGUGGGGUAAAAGCCUACCAAGCCGACGAUCUGUAGCUGGUCUGAGAGGACGACAAGCCACACUGGGACUGAGACACGGCCCAGACUCCUACGGGAGGCAGCAGUGGGGAAUUUUGGACAAUGGGCGCAAGCCUGAUCCAGCCAUGCCGCGUGCGGGAAGAAGGCCUUCGGGUUGUAAACCGCUUUUGUCAGGGAAGAAACGCUUCGAGCUAAUACCUCGGAGUAAUGACGGUACCUGAAGAAUAAGCACCGGCUAACUACGUGCCAGCCGCCGCCGUAA
rnacentral:rRNA from 1 species